UGGUUCUGGCAUNGAUGAAGAACGCAGCGAAAUGCGAUAAGUAAUGUGAAUUGCAGAAUUCAGUGAAUCAUCGAAUCUUUGAACGCACAUUGCGCCCGCCAGUAUUCUGGCGGGCAUGCCUGUCCGAGCGUCAUUUCAACCAUCAAGCCCCCGGCUUGUGUUGGGGACCUGCGUCUGACGCAGGCCCUGAAAACCAGUGGCGGGCUCGCUGUCCACACCGAGCGUAGUAACUAACCUCGCUAUGGAGUGGCGCGGGCGCCUGCCGUAAAACCCCCAAUUUUACAAGGUUGACCUCGGAUCAGGUAGGAAUACCCGCUGA
rnacentral:misc_RNA from 1 species